UACAGAGGUCUCAAGCGUUGUUCGGAUUCAUUGGGCGUAAAGGGUGCGUAGGUGGCCAGGUAAGUUCGGUGUGAAAGCUCGGAGCUUAACUCCGAAAUGGCAUUGAAUACUAUCUGGCUGGAGGGUCGGAGGGGAGACUGGAAUUCUCGGUGUAGCAGUGAAAUGCGUAGAUAUCGAGAGGAACACCAGUGGCGAAGGCGAGUCUCUGGACGACACCUGACACUGAGGCACGAAAGCCAGGGGAGCAAACAGG
rnacentral:rRNA from 1 species